ensembl:lncRNA
CUUUCAGGUCAAACAACAGUUGAAGCCAGAGCGAAAACGUACAAGGUUUGUGUGUUUUUACACGAUUCAAGGUGCAAAAUGAAGCUUCUUCUCUUCGCAGCAUUUGUAGCAACCCUCAGCUAUGUCAACGCAGGCAAGACUGCAAGGCUGCUGGCAGCUAUGAAUGCAGGGAUGUUGAAUGGAGGACUCUUAAAUGGAGGACUCUUAAAUGGAGCAAACCCCGGGAUGCUGGUUGGUGGUCUGAAUCCACCCAUUGUAGCUGGCGGUGGAGCAGGCGUUAUUGGGCAGCCCCAGUUUGCUCAGUUUGUUCCUCGAGUUCCUGCUUUUGUCGUUCCAGCUCAGGUCGGCAAUGUGUACCCUUUCCCUGCUGUCCCUGCAGUCAAUGCGUACCAGGUUCCUUUCAUGGGAGUACCCCAAAUGGCACCAAUGAAUGCUCCUCAGCAACCUGCAAUGGGGAACCCUGCCGGUGCUGCUCCACAGCAGCUUCCAGUUCAGCCUGAUCCACUUGGAAGAUUCAGGCGCCAGAUUAUGAAAGCCGAAAACACAGUGAAGAGUACUUUGGAUACUCAGAUUCCUUCUUCUGCUCCUUCUGCAUCACCAACAGCAGUGCCUUGCAACAAGGAUAAUUAAGCUGACACCAUUACUGUAACAUUAGCUUUGAAUUGAAUCUACAAGAAAUAUUGAAUAUUAUAACAUUAAAAGUUAACUCCUAUGAUUAUUCAUAAAUUGAUGAAUUUUGUUACAGUGUGUUCGCUUUCUAAUAAAAGUAAUCAUAC